CAAAAGAUACAUUGUAAGAGCACAUACUGGAUGGCAAAGUACAUGAAAAGUUUUCUUGUUUAUUAUUAAGCCAAUCUUCACGUGAGGAUGUGGAUGAGAAGAGGCUGGCAAAGAGUGGUGUUCUACAGUAGUACCAGCUCUGGGAUAGGAUAGGUCAGAAAUCAUGGGCCACAUGGAUUAAAUAUAAAAUCAUACCACCCUUCACUGUAUUGAUGACAGACCAACAGUAACGGCAACAGCAAGUGUCCACAAUCUCAACUCCACUACCCAUCCACACACACACCUACUUUUCUACUUCCUCGCCUAAUUUGUCUCCCUGAUUAAAAUAAAAAUCAGCAUCAAA